AGCAUAAUAUUAAAACUGAAAUGUAAAGCACAAAUCUUAAGUUGAAAUGUAAAGGACAAUAUUAAAACUGAAACGCAAAGCACAAAAAACGAAGUUGAAAUGUAAAGCACAAAAUCUUAUAUUGAAAUGUAAAGAAUAAAUCUUAAGUUGAAAUGUAAAGCACAAAUCUUAAGUUGACAUGUAAAGCACAAAUCUUAAGUUCAAUAUAAAUUUAAAAUAAAAGGUUUAAAUGUAAAGGUAAUGUACUUAUUGAAAAUAUGACGUUAAUAUAUGAAGUAAAUAUGUAAAGUGAAAAUAGAAAGCACAAAUAUGAAGUGAACAUAUGAAGUAAUGUAAUGAGAUGAAUAUAUGAAAUAAUCAAAUAAAGAAUCAAUAUGAAGUGCAAAUGUGAAGUGUACAAAUCAAGUGAUACUAUAAAGUGGUAGAAUGAAAUGUAAAUCAAGUGAUACUAUAAAACGGUAGAAUGAAAUGUACAAAUCAAGUGAUACUAUAAAGUGGUAGAUUGAAAUGUAGAUCAAGUGAUACUAUAAAACGGUAGAAUGAAAUGUAAGAAUCAAGUGAUACUAUAAAGUGGUUGAAUGAAAUGUAAAUCAAGUGAUACUAUUAAAGUUGUAGAAUGAAGUGAACAAAUCAAGUGAUACUAUAAAGUGGCAGAAUGAAAUGUAAAUAAAGUGAUACUAUUAAAGUGGUAGAAUGAAGUGAACAAAUCAAGUGAUACUUUAAAGUGGUAGAAUGAAGUGAACAAUUCAAGUGAUACUAUAAAGUGGUAGAAUGAAAUGUAAAUCAAGUGAUACUAUAAAGUGGUAGAAUGAAAUGUAAAUCAAGUGAUACUAUUAAAGUGGUAGAAUGAAGUGAACCAAGUAGUAGAGUGAAGUGGAAGUAUCCAGUGGAAGCUUUGGUUCUCCCAUUCAGAAUACAAUGUUAAGACUCAGAGGGGCGAUUGUAUUUAAUCUUUACAUUGAAGUCGUUGAGAGAAACAUCAUCCUCUUCACCAUAAUCUUCACCAUAAUCUUCAGCAUAAUCUUCUCCAUCAUCUUCACUAUAAUCUUCACUAUAAUCUUCACCAUAAUCUUCACCAUAAUCUUCACGAUACGACAGAGGUGUGAAUAAGACAUGGUCCUCCUGGUCACCGGUCUCAAGAGCAAAACUAGGUCUAAAUGAAGAUUCAUCUACAGGUUGACUUUCUUGAACGCCACGGGUGAGUGGCGUACUCUGGGGCAAAACGUUGUGCAGGUAGCCCCAUUCCUCACGUUGGUGCUGCUCCAGCCAGCGGAUGUUUUCGGGUACAAUAACAGGGCGCCGGUAAUGAGG